AGGACAUUUAAAUCAACCUAGAAUCCUAUCUGCUCCCUUCAGGACAUUUACAGAGAAACUUGUGUUCCUGCCUACCCUCCUUCUCCUCCUGAAUGCACCCUAACGGAGGCUCAUGUUGAGAACCCACAAACCAAGGACAUUUAAAUCAACCUAGAAUCCUAUCUGCUCCCUUCAGGACAUUUACAGAGAAACUUGUGUUCCUGCCUACCCUCCUUCUCCUCCUGAAUGCACCCUAACGGAGGCUCAUGUUGAGAACCCACAAACCAAGGACAUUUAAAUCAACCUAGAAUCCUAUCUGCUCCCUUCAGGACAUUUACAGAGAAACUUGUGUUCCUGCCUACCCUCCUUCUCCUCCUGAAUGCACCCUAACGGAGGCUCAUGUUGAGAACCCACAAACCAAGGACAUUUAAAUCAACCUAGAAUCCUAUCUGCUCCCUUCAGGACAUUUACAGAGAAAGUAUGCUUAUUGCUUAUCUUUC